rnacentral:misc_RNA from 1 species
AAUCCUCAAAACCCUUUUUCUCUUUGAAAGGGUUUUGGACUUGGAGGAUCGAUGCUUGCCCUCACUUUGAAGGCGAGCUCCUCUCAAAUAAAUUAGUGGGGUUUGCUUUGCUGAUCCUUGACGGUGAUAAGACAUCUCUACGUUUUGGAUUUGGCGACUGUCCCUUGCUUCUAACCGUCCUAUGGACAAUGAUGGGUGCACCGGUCCACCGCCUUACAUUGGUGGGGGGCUGGACCCACAAUAAAAAGGA